AGUGAACGCUGGCGGUAGGCCUAACACAUGCAAGUCGAACGGCAGCACAGGAGAGCUUGCUCUCUGGGUGGCGAGUGGCGGACGGGUGAGGAAUACAUCGGAAUCUACUCUGUCGUGGGGGAUAACGUAGGGAAACUUACGCUAAUAACGCAUACGACCUACGUGUGAAAGCAGGGGACCUUCGGGCCUUGCGCGAUUGAAUGAGCCGAUGUCUGAUUAGCUAGUUGGCGGGGUAAAGGCCCACCAAGGCGACGAUCCGUAGCUGGUCUUAAGGGUUGAUCAGCCACACUGGAACUGAGACACGGUCCAGACUCCUACGGGAGGCAGCAGUGGGGAAUAUUGGACAAUGGGCGCAAGCCUGAUCCAGCCAUACCGCGUGGGUGAAGAAGGCCUUCGGGUUGUAAAGCCCUUUUGUUGGGAAAGAAAUCCAGCUGGCUAAUACCCGGUUGGGAUGACGGUACCCAAAGAAUAAGCACCGGCUAACUUCGUGCCAGCAGCCGCAGUAA
rnacentral:rRNA from 1 species